rnacentral:rRNA from 1 species
UACAAAGGUGGCAAGCGUUGUUCGGAAUUACUGGGCGUAAAGGGUGCGUAGGCGGGCCUUUAAGUCAGGGGUGAAAUCCUGGAGCUCAACUCCAGAACUGCCUUUGAUACUGAGGAUCUUGAGUUCGGGAGAGGUGAGUGGAACUGCGAGUGUAGAGGUGAAAUUCGUAGAUAUUCGCAAGAACACCAGUGGCGAAGGCGGCUCACUGGCCCGAUACCGACGCUGAGGCACGAAAGCGUGGGGAGCAAACAGG